AGAACGAUUAUUGGAUCAGAUGGUAAAACAAUUUUUGAUUUUGUAAAAAACUGCCAAAUUAUCUUCCAAAGUUGCUAUGUAAUUUUGUAUUCCCACCAGCAAU
rnacentral:pre_miRNA from 1 species